AUACGGAGGAUCCGAGCGUUAUCCGGAUUUAUUGGGUUUAAAGGGUGCGCAGGCGGCCAUUUAAGUCAGCGGUUAAAUCGUGGGGCUCAACCCCAUUCUGCCGUUGAUACUGGGUGGCUUGAUUGCGGUCGAGGUUGGCGGAAUUCGUUGUGUAGCGGUGAAAUGCAUAGAUAUGACGAAGAACACCGAUUGCGUAGGCAGCUGACCAGACCGCAAAUGACGCUCAUGCACGAAAGUGCGGAGAUCGAACAGGAUUAGAUACCCUGGUAGUCCGCACAGUAAACGAUGAAUACUUGUUUUCGGCGAUAUAAUGUCGGAGGCAAAGCGAAAGCGAUAAGUAUUCCACCUGGGGAGUACGCCGGCAACGGUGAAACUCAAAGGAAUUGACGGGG
rnacentral:rRNA from 1 species